GCUGGAGCACUGAGGGAGGCCACACUACCAUCUGGGGCAUUGACUAAGGAGUGUUGUGGGUCACCUGGAGCAUCUGACCCUCCUCCACCAUCACUAUCUCCACCAAAAUUCGUACGUGCGAAAAAAAGAAUGCGUCACCGCGUCAAAAAUACGACAAGGACCUCCCCGAAAUACAUUUAUGGACCAUAAUUCCUUUUGGGACAACAAAGAAAUGCGUUAACGGACAGUAACCCAAACAGGAACACCCCAGAAAUACGUCAAUUCACCUUAACCCCAACAGGAACACCCCAGAAUACGCCAACGCACCUUAAACCCAACAGGAACACCCCAGAAUACGUCAACGCACCUUAACCCCAACAGGAACACCCCAGAAUACAUCAACGCACCUUAAACCCAACAGGAACACCUCAGAAUACGUCAACGAACCUUAACCCCAACAGGAACACCCCAGAAUACGUUAACGCACCUUAAACCCAACAGGAACACCCCAGAAUACAUCAACGCACCUUAAACCCAAUAGGAACACCCCAGAAUACGUUAACGCACCUUAAACCCAACAGGAACACCCCAGAAUACAUCAACGCACCUUAAACCUAAUAGGAAUACCCCAGAAACACGUCAACGCAUCUUAAAUCCAACAGAAACCCCAUAAAUAAGUCAACGCAACAGAAACACCCCCAGAAAUACGUCAACACACCUUACACUCAACAAAAACACCCCAGAAUACGUCAACGCAACAGAAACACCCCAGAAAUAAGUUAACGCAACGGAAACACCCCCAGAAAUACGUCAACACACCUUACACUCAACAAAUACACCCCAGAAUACGUCAACGCAACAGAAACACCCCAGAAAUAAGUCAACGCAACAGAAACACCCCAGAAAUAAGUCAACGCUCUUUAAACCUAACAAGAGCACCCCAGAAAUACAGCAACGUAUCAGAACGAGCUGGGGUUCACUUGAGGGGGACGUCUUAGCUGUUGUUAGUAUCCUGUGUUGUGUGAUCCUUAACAGGCUAGGUAUCAAGAGUGGCAAGUCAGGGUGGUGGGGCAGGGGAGGUAGUGUGGACGGCCAGGCAAGUCAGGUGAACAUGGUGCUACUGACGAAGGCUCCGUUGCUGCUACUGUUGCUGGGAGGUGGAGCUGUUGGCCUCAAGACUCCGGACACGGCAGUAAAACUGAGCCAAGAAGACAUCGACUUCUUGUUCGGGAGUCAGGAAGCACCUCCUCACUCCAUUAUCAACAUCCAUAGUCGGUCUCGGGAGAAGAGAUCCUCUAACACCCUCACGGAAAAACCAGGCUUCUUAGAUGUCACCCUCAAGGACGACGAGGACGAGAUCGAGUUCGAAUUACGUCCGAACUACGAUCUCGUGUCUCCUGACUUCAAACUCGUGAUAAGGGGCGAGGAUGGUGUCAUAGAGGAGCGGGGGAUGUCGGGCCACGCCUGUUACUACUACGGCGUGGCGAAGGGUAGACCAGACACCGCGGCGGCGCUCUCCAACUGCGACGGUCACGGCUUUACUGGCGUCAUUGUGUCCAGUAACUACACUAACUCGUCCGACCAGUUAAGAACGACACUCAAGUGAAACGACAACGACGACGACGACAACUAUCUCCUGCUGGUGACGACGACAAGUCUGACGUAACUGGGAGCGACACUUACGACGAGGAGGAAGACGACGAUAUAACGUCAGAUGGCCUACACGUCAUUCAUACCAGGAACAAGAAUGCCAAGUGUGCCGUGUUUGACUUGAACGCCAUGAAAGCCCCUCGGUUCAUCGUUAAACUUGAAGACGUAAACGAGAAGGAGGGGGAAGAAGAACACGAGAGGGCCAAGCGAGAGGCCGCCACUGGCGAGAAACACAUCGAGACGGCAGUGUUUGUUGACGAUUCCAUGUAUCAGGUUAUUAUGAAGAAUAAUCCCGGGGCAGACUUGGCUCAGAAGGUUACAGAACUCGUGUUGACUAUCAUGAAUGGGGUAAACAUCAUCUACAACGCUCUCACUCGACAUACCUCAUCACGUUGG